rnacentral:rRNA from 1 species
AGCUUGCUGCUUUGCUGACGAGUGGCGGACGGGUGAGUAAUGUCUGGGAAACUGCCUGAUGGAGGGGGAGUAACUACUGGAACGGUAGCUAAUACCGCAUAACGUCGCAAGACCAAAGAGGGGGACCGUUCGGGCCUCUUGCCAUCAGAUGUGCCCACGAUGGGAGUUAGCUAGUAGGUGGGGUAACGGGCUCACCUAGGCGACGAUCCCCUAGCUGGUCUGAGAGGAUGACCAGCCACACUGGAACUGAGACACGGUCCAGACUCC